CCGGGGGGCAGCAGUGAGGAAUAUUGGUCAAUGGACGAGAGUCUGAACCAGCCAAGUAGCGUGCAGGAUGAAGGCCCUAUGGGUUGUAAACUGCUUUUAUAAGGGAAUAAAGUGAGUCUCGUGAGACUUUUUGCAUGUACCUUAUGAAUAAGGACCGGCUAAUUCCGUGCCAGCAGCCGCGGUAAUACGGAAGGUCCGGGCGUUAUCCGGAUUUAUUGGGUUUAAAGGGAGCGUAGGCCGGAGAUUAAGCGUGUGGUGAAAUGUAGACGCUCAACGUCUGCACUGCAGCGCGAACUGGUUUCCUUGAGUACGCACAAAGUGGGCGGAAUUCGUGGUGUAGCGGUGAAAUGCUUAGAGAUCACGAAGAACUCCGAUUGCGAAGGCAGCUCACUGGAGCGCAACUGACGCUGAAGCUCGAAAGUGCGGGUAUCGAACA
rnacentral:rRNA from 1 species